UCAUCUGGAAAGUUAAAAAGUUUCAUCAUUAGACCCAGACACUUCCUGUACGUCAGAUCGUAUACUGAACCAUAGAUUUACCUCUGUGGUUAUGGUUUAUACUGAAACCCACUUUCUACAAAUAGUGUACCGUCACUAAAUCAAACACUCAGAACUUCAAAAGGGACAUCUUCCUAGGCAGAAUGGGGAAUUCGGUGACCUAGUCAUGCAAUGUGGCAUUCAGAAGUAUUGCUUACUAUUUGUUUCAUAAAGAAACAAAAAAUGAUAAAAGCACAGGAUUCUUGAUUGUUUCCCAAAUCCAUUUCCAAAUGAUUUAAAGGCUCAUUGGAAAUGGUGGCUUUGUGUGGUGGGAACAGCAUACCAAACUAUCAAGAGAAGCAGUGUGUUUAGAAUCCUAGGUUUGAGAGGGACUAUGUCCAUGGUCUUCAGGGGGUCUUGAUUCCAUUUCUCAGUGAUUCCAGAGUAAUUUUGAGAGGUUUGAGAGGAAAAAAAAAAAGGAUGUAGCAUCUUGAGGAAAAUGAGGAAUGUCCUCACAUGCCAGUGAGAUCCAGGGUGACUAAAUGUUAUAAACAAUGCUCUAGGCACUUAGUGGGGUCUGUUCUUUGCCAUCCACAGACACAGGACUGAUUAAGGUCCGGAAAGACCAUUUCCCAAAAGUGGUCAAAUGAAAAAGUGCUUGCAAAACCCCAAAUAAGAGGUUGUUACUAUUCAUUUGGCUGCUGAACCAAAUCACCUUUCAUAUUGAUGGGUAGCUAGCUCUGUUCUAGAUAUUUUAGGGUACAUUUAGUGUUCCACAUUAUUAUUUUUCUUAACCAGUUGUUCCUAGCUCUGGAUUUGAUGCUGGGCAUUUAAGCCAAUUAAGAUAAGAAGGCUAUAAUGAAAUAUACGUUAGAUAAAAUUGCUGUCUACAAGUGGUGUUAGGUCCUGCACGUAGAUUUUUGGUUUCCUAAAAUCAGACAAGAAUUAGUGUAUCCUGGUAAAAAAAACGUGGACCUUGGAAUCAGACCCAUUUCCUUAUGGUUCUGUGUUAUUUAGCUUCUCAGAUUCUGUUUCCUCACUCACACAAUUAGGAUGAUAAUUCCUAUCUCAUAGGUGGAGAAUUGAAUAGAUAUAUGUAAACUUUUUGGGAGAGUGUCACAUAGUGGUUGCUUAAGUCUCACUUUUCCCUUGGAUUAAUUUUUGGUACAAAAUAUCCUGAGAGAACAUAAAACAAGAAUAGCUUACCUAGGUUCAGUUUUAAAGUUGUUACUUGCUCAAAACAUGGCAGUUUUCUUUUAAAUCAACAUACUAUUUUUAGGCUCCUGUAAAAUGCCUUCUGUUAUAAUUUAGAAGAGAAUUUACAAGGAGUAUUUCCAAAAGGUAGCUUUUUAUAAAGAAUUAGGAUAUUCCAGCUAGCCUCUGAAGUUUCCUUAGAUGAAUGACAGUCUUUUAAUUGUUACACACUACACUAUACUUAACAGAUUCAGCUGAGAAAAGAGAACCUAAUUUGACAUGUGGGAUAAAUGAACAAUUAGAUUAAAAUAUAAUCUGUAUUCAUUAAUCUUAUUACCUAAUACUUUGGAUACUUCACUUAGAUCCUCCUCCCUUCCCCAACUGACAGACACACAGAUGGACACACACACUCACACACAAACACACUCUCUCUUCCCUUGGCAGCUAACCCUGAGAGGGAAUCUAACAAAACUUCACAAAGUUUAACAAUCUCAAGCAUUCUAAUGGAUUUAGGAAUCCUGGGGGGCUCAACCACUAUUGAAGGCUACUUUAUUUAGGCACUUUCAUUUAAAGUAACUGAGGUCUUUCAACUGUCAAAGUUGGCUAUUAAACCCUUUGCUGUAAUUUUUCUAUAAAUACUUCCAUUUGAGAUGACCUUUUAUGUUUGCAUAUGUUCAUGCCUGUUGGUUCAGUCCGCUUUUAACUUUCAAUCUGUUGGCUAUUCAGUCAUUCUCUUAAACAGAAAAGCCUCUACACUGUAUUUCCUAUAACAAACGAGUCUUUAGCUGAUGGCACACCUCCCUUCCCACUUCUGCAGCCAUCACCUGACAACUCAUUGCUGCUCCUAUUUUAACUUUCUAGGUUUGCCUUUGUAAGAUAAUGAUCACAUCACUGGCCCUCCCUCCUAAACCUUCAAACUCCCUACUGAUGUAGGUUAGUGGCCAAAUUCUUUGCUCAGGCAAUCUUAUUCCUGGUGAUUUCAAGUACCCAGUAUAUACCUAAUUUUGUUUUCUCUUUCCAUAGAAUAGUAGUUCUUCAACUUUGGCAUAAGCCAGAAUCCCACAGAAGGUAUGUUAAAACAGAUCAAAGGGCCCACAAACAGAGUUUCUGAUUCAGUAGGCCUGGGGUAGGGCCCAUGAAUUUGCAUUUCUAACAAGUAACAAGUAAGGUUUAUGUUGUUGAUCUGGGACCACACUGCUGUUCUAGAAGAACUUUCCACGGAUUCUCUCUGAAAUGGUUCAAAGAUCACAUCAGGUGAUCUUGGACACAAAGUAAUUUGGUAUUCGCUCUGGACAUUUGAAACAAAACGACUCAAAGAGAUCCAUCAGAUUCUGAUCUAAGCAAGUGACCAAACGACCACAGAUUCCCACCUGCUUUCAUGAUCUAUUUGAUUCUUGGAGUCCUAAGGAAGAAUUUCAGAAAGGUCUUCGAACAAAUGCAGAAUGCACAGACUUCACUUAACAGUUGUUUACUGAACAUUUCUAAUUUCUGUGCCUGGCCUUGGUCUGAGUGCUGAGGGUCUCAAGACAAGCAAGACCAGGUCCCUGCCCCAGGUGCUUCAGCGCACAGACUGUGGUCAUGGGGCAGUCACUUCUGAGGGGCUCCUGACUGGUGACCGCCUAAUGAGUACCUGCUGGAUGAAUGAAUGGGGUCCAUCAAAGUAAGGAUGGCCGCUAUUGGCAUCUGUGCUCCUCGUCUCAAUGGCUAAGAAGAUGCACUCAGAUCUCCUUUGUCUUUGCUUUACUUGUGCUUCUCUGCAUGAGAUACCUGUAAUCCUAGGGUAGGAAGGCCUGGCCCGGAGGUUCAACUGAAGAAGCUGUUCUAAGAAAGAUGACUGAGGUAAUCAGUCACCUUCCUCAGAGAAAGUCCACUCAGGUAGAAUUUUAUUUACUAUGUAAACAAUGGAACAUUUAUUGCCGAAUCCCUUGUUCCUUUAUAGCCAGGCUAGAGAAUUUAGAUUUCUUGGUGGGGGACAUGAGGGUAAAAGAAAUGGUCAUGGGAGAGAAGAUGGAUCCUGGAUAAAGAGACCAGUGGCUUCUCUAUCCUUCACAGCCCCCUGAGGAGAAUCAAAAAGGUAAAGACUGUCCCUUUAACUCAGGUGGUGAGUGUGUUUCUCUUUAUUUUACCAAGCAGGAUGACAGACCGGGUUUUCCCAGAAAGCCUGGGGAUGCGCAGGGGAUAGGAGUGACUAGAGAAGGGAGGAUGGCAGGGGAGAUCUGAAGAUCAUCCUUAACUUUCCAAAAGCAAGAAUAUAGGACACUUAGUAAACUUUAAAUUACUUGCCCCUUUUAUGGAAGGGGACAAGGUUAUUUUUACUGAAGAGAACUAAAAUAAUUCACUUAAGAGCUCACUUUUGUAAGAUCACAGCAAAAAACAAAACCCAGAAUCUGUUUGUUGCUUUAGGUGACAAAUGGUGAUAAUGAUCUCUAUGCUCAGUUAGUUUAGAAUUGCUCUUUAUAGCAAAUAUUAUAUGCUAAAAACAAGUACACUAAAAAAUGGAUCCCAACUAUGGACACGGUAAAGAGAUCAGGGGUUGGGGAGAGGGAGGGAUGAGGUGGAGCACAGAGGAUUUUUAGAAUGGUUAAACUACUAUUUGCUGCUGUAAUGGUGGAUACAUGUCAUUAUACAUUUGUUAAAAUCUACAGAAGGUGUAACACCACGAGUGAACCCCAAAGGAAACUCUGAUCUAUAGUUAAUAGUAAUCUGUCUAUUGGUUCAUCAACUGAAACAAAUAUACCAGAGUAAAAAAUGUUAAUAACAGGGGAAA